CCUGCCGGCACCGCGCACCCCUCCCGUCGGACUGCGGGCAGAAGGGUCGAGGCUUCGCUGAGCCCGGCGUCGGAUUCCCGCGUGGCCGGGUUGGCGGGGCUGGAAGCCGCGGCGGUGCACACGCACGGAGCGCCGCCCUCCCGCGCCCGCCGCGCCCGCCGGCGGCUGCUCCGGAGCCCGCAGCCCCGACCCCCGGGCCGCGCACUCCACGCUCCAGCGCGGCUGCGGGCCCCCCGGGAGCAGUCGGGCGGUUCGCACCGCCCGCCACGUUUCCCGUUAAAGACUGAUUUACCUGUCUACCUGAGAGGCGGCCCCCUCUCGGCCCGGUGCCGCGUCCCCAGGCGCGUCCGCUGGGGAGCCGGCUGGGACCCUGCGCUCCUGGCAGGCGGGAAGCGGCCCCUCUGUUCUCAGAGGUGGGCGCUGUCCUCAGUCAGCGGCACGGAGAGCCCACCGCCCCCGCCCCCACACAGGGGUCUCGCUCUGCCCCGCUUCCCUGGCACGGUUCUGGGAGGAGGGGGGCUCUCCCGCAAGAAGCCACUGGCGCGGAGACCAGGAGCCCCAGCUCGGGACCCGGAUUUCUGCUCCUGCAUCCGGGAGGCAGUGGGCCAUGACCCAGGUCCUGGGGUCCCUGCUAUUCACGGGGGAGACCCUCCUGCCUCCUGGCUUCCGUCCGGCCCAGUCCCGGCCACUGUGGGCAUUUGGGAGCUGAACCAAGCUCUCUCCCCCACCCCCUUGCCUUCCAAAUCAAUCGAUACGUUUAAGAAGAAUCCAGAAGUGACUGUAGCUAUUGAUACUGCGCUAUGCAUUAGUUUAAACAUCUUUAAGGCUAGAAGAAAGGAUUUGGGACGAGGACGAUUGGAGGAGACAGGUGCAUCCUAUCCUAACGCCAGCAUCACUCAGCGGGCGGGGAGAGCAGAGGGCAGGGCACAGCCCUCAGAUUGUGCAAGCUCCGUGUGUCGCUGGAGACAGAACAGCGUCCUCACUAGAGAAGCCGGAGAGGGGACCAGCGGCCAACGAGGAAGACAAGAGCGGGGGAGGCUGCAGGGAGGGCCGCUGGGUGGGAGCUGCAGCCCGCCAGCCCUCCCUCCGGGCUCGCCGAAGGCCCAGUUCCUUUCAGGAAGCUGCCGGAGGUGCCAGGGUGGGAGGGGUGAGAUGUGA
rnacentral:lncRNA from 1 species